CCCUCUCCAAAUCCCUAAUCAUUUUAGUUGCCCUUCUCUGAACCUUUUCUAGUGCCAGUAUAUCUUUUUUUGUGAUGAAGCGACCACAUCUGUACGGUUCACACAAAAUGUAUUCAAGAUGUGGGCA